AGUGGGAUAAAGAGUUUUUUCAGCUCAAGGUGUCUGAUUCAGUGACAAACUUGGUUGAUAGUGCGUGGAAAUCCAGGUCGCCCAUGAGUGUGAAAGUCAUUAUUACUUCCUUACAGCUCUUCUCGGACCUGAUCAUGCCCUGUGGUUCUGGCUCCUUCCUCAGUCCCUUUACAAGAAGUCUCACAACUACAAGAUGAUAAAAAUGCCUCUGAGGAACAUUUGACUGUUGGUCACAAAUUCCAAGUGGAUUUUGUUCUGCUUUCUGGACUUCCCUAUAGGAGCUAUGAAUUUCAUGACCUCACCAAACAUCCUGAUAUAGAAGAAGCAAUGAGAGACAAAUGGCUGAAUGAAGGAAGUAACGGGAAAUGACUGAGUUCACUAAUGCACAAAAGCAGGUCCCAAUUAAAGAUCUCUCAACUCAGUGAAGAUGAAGCAACGUACAGCAACAACCUGUAUUACCUUAAUAUAGGUCCUUAACAUUCAAGGAAUUUGGACUAUAUAGGAAAAACUUAAAGAGCAGACCCACUGAGGGUGCGCUCAGCACAUUAAAGGAACAUGGUGGUGACUGGGGUUGGUAAGCAAGGCACCCCUCUUGUGCAUGCACAGUGACUCACUAAGAAUCACCAAAGGGAUUGAGGCCACCCACUCACCCUGAGUGAGCACUGAACCUCUCAGGGAAACACAUCAUAGAAGGGCCCGGCUGUCAGCUUCCGUUAACCUCAAUAAUCGUAUUUCUAAAGAAGCCCUUCAUUCUAGGACUUCUCUUGUAUGAGUCUCAGUAUGUAAGGAAAACCAGGUACAACUUUUUUUCUGGGAGAAUUUUACAUCACACUGACCAACUGUGGUGCAUGGUCAUUUAGAAGUAAGAAUUACGGAAAGUUGGUUCAUCUGA
rnacentral:lncRNA from 1 species